AAUUCAUGUAGAUAAGAGAUGGCCUAUUUAUUACUUCCGUAAUGAUAAGGCACAUUGAUCAAACUAAGCGCUUUGGAAGCGUUAUUUGGUGUUUGCCUGUUGACAAAAGAUGAAAGCUACACUACUCGUGGUUCUUGUAAUAUUUGUUGGAUGUGAGGGUUUGUUCCUGGACUGCAAUCCAGCUCUCAUAGAUUGUUUCAGGGAUCCCUGUGCAGGAGCAAUAUGCCCGUCUGAUACUUCAGCUACCUGCAGGACAGGUUGCCAAUGUCAGGCAGAAUGGUAUGAUAUCAGUGGUCAGAAAAUUACAGGAUGUUUUAACAAAGGCUAGCCAACAACCAUCUUAAUAUGUAUAAAAUUAGUGGAAAAAUAAAGUCAUAACACCAUA
rnacentral:lncRNA from 1 species